rnacentral:rRNA from 1 species
CUUUUCACAUGCAAGUUCGAACGGCAGCACGGACUUCGGUCUGGUGGCGAGUGGCGAACGGGUGAGUAAUACAUCGGAACGUGCCCAGUUGUGGGGGAUAACGUAGCGAAAGUUACGCUAAUACCGCAUACGAACUAAGGUUGAAAGUGGGGGAUCGCAAGACCUCAUGCUCAUGGAGUGGCCGAUAUCUGAUUAGCUAGUUGGUGAGGUAAAGGCUCACCAAGGCGACGAUCUGUAGCGGGUCUGAGAGGAUGAUCCGCCACACUGGGACUGAGACACGGCCCAGACUCCUACGGGAGGCAGCAGUGGGGAAUAUUGGACAAUGGGCGAAAGCCUGAUCCAGCCAUGCCGCGUGUGUGAAGAAGGCCUUUUGGUUGUAAAGCACUUUAAGCGAGGAGGAGGCUACUUGGAUUAAUACUCUAGGAUAGUGGACGUUACUCGCAGAAUAAGCACCGGCUAACUCUGUGCCAGCAGCCGCGGUAAUACAGAGGGUGCGAGCGUUAAUCGGAUUUACUGGGCGUAAAGCGUGCGUAGGCGGCUUUUUAAGUCGGAUGUGAAAUCCCUGAGCUUAACUUAGGAAUUGCAUUCGAUACUGGGAAGCUAGAGUAUGGGAGAGGAUGGUAGAAUUCCAGGUGUAGCGGUGAAAUGCGUAGAGAUCUGGAGGAAUACCGAUGGCGAAGGCAGCCAUCUGGCCUAAUACUGACGCUGAGGUACGAAAGCAUGGGGAGCAAACAGGAUUAGAUACCCUGGUAGUCCAUGCCGUAAACGAUGUCUACUAGCCGUUGGGGCCUUUGAGGCUUUAGUGGCGCAGCUAACGCGAUAAGUAGACCGCCUGGGGAGUACGGUCGCAAGACUAAAACUCAAAUGAAUUGACGGGGGCCCGCACAAGCGGUGGAGCAUGUGGUUUAAUUCGAUGCAACGCGAAGAACCUUACCUGGUCUUGACAUAGUAAGAACUUUCCAGAGAUGGAUUGGUGCCUUCGGGAACUUACAUACAGGUGCUGCAUGGCUGUCGUCAGCUCGUGUCGUGAGAUGUUGGGUUAAGUCCCGCAACGAGCGCAACCCUUUUCCUUAUUUGCCAGCGGGUUAAGCCGGGAACUUUAAGGAUACUGCCAGUGACAAACUGGAGGAAGGCGGGGACGACGUCAAGUCAUCAUGGCCCUUACGACCAGGGCUACACACGUGCUACAAUGGUCGGUACAAAGGGUUGCUACCUAGCGAUAGGAUGCUAAUCUCAAAAAGCCGAUCGUAGUCCGGAUUGGAGUCUGCAACUCGACUCCAUGAAGUCGGAAUCGCUAGUAAUCGCGGAUCAGAAUGCCGCGGUGAAUACGUUCCCGGGCCUUGUACACACCGCCCGUCACACCAUGGGAAUUUGUUGCACCAGAAGUAGGUAGUCUAACCGCAAGGAGGACGCUUACCAC